UAUUAUAUAAAUUAAUAAAAAUUAUAUAAUGUAAAAAAAAUUAAAAUUUAAAAAUUUUGGCAGUAUUUUAUUUUAUUAGAGGAAUUUGUUUUAUAAUUGAUAACCCACAAUAAAUUUUACUUAUUUUUAUAAUUUAUAUAUCGUUGUCAAAAAUUUAUCUAAUUUUAGUAAAUUUUUUAAAUUAAUAAAAAUUAAUUAUGUCAAAUCAAGAUAUAAUUUAUAAAUAAGAAAAUAAUGAAUUACAAUAAAUUUAUUUAUAUGGAUCAAAGAUUGAAAUAUUUUUUUAAAAGUGGAUUUAAUAGUAAAUUUAAUAAUAUAAUAUUUUUGAAUUUUUAUUAAAAUAGGUACAUAUCGCCCGUCACUUUCAAUUAAUGAAAAAA
rnacentral:rRNA from 1 species